UGGGGAAUAUUGCACAAUGGGCGCAAGCCUGAUGCAGCCAUGCCGCGUGUGUGAAGAAGGCCUUCGGGUUGUAAAGCACUUUCAGCGAGGAGGAAGGGUUCAGUGUUAAUAGCACUGUUCAUUGACGUUACUCGCAGAAGAAGCACCGGCUAACUCCGUGCCAGCAGCCGCGGUAAUACGGAGGGUGCAAGCGUUAAUCGGAAUUACUGGGCGUAAAGCGCACGCAGGCGGUUUGUUAAGUCAGAUGUGAAAUCCCGCGCUAAC
rnacentral:rRNA from 1 species